rnacentral:rRNA from 1 species
GACGAACGCUGGCGGCAGGCUUAACACAUGCAAGUCGAACGCAUCCUUCGGGGUGAGUGGCGGACGGGUGAGUAACGCGUGGGAACGUGCCCUUCAGUUCGGGAUAACCCAGGGAAACUUGGGCUAAUACCGGAUACGUGCGAGAGCAGAAAGAUUUAUCGCUGAAGGAUCGGCCCGCGUCUGAUUAGCGAGUUGGGGGGGUAAUGGCACACCAAGGCGACGAUCAGUAGAUGGUCUGAGAGGAUGAUCAGCCACAUUGGGACUGAGACACGGCCCAAACUCCUACGGGAGGCAGCAGUGGGGAAUAUUGGACAAUGGGCGCAAGACUGAUCCAGCCAUGCCGCGUGAGUGAUGAAGGCCUUAGGGUUGUAAAGCUCUUUCGUCCGGGAUGAUAAUGACGGUACCGGAAGAAGAAGCCCCGGCUAACUUCGUGCCAGCAGCCGCAGUAACAC